rnacentral:rRNA from 1 species
AUGACGUCGGGGGCGGCCCGGGCGGCGGCGGCGGCGGAGGCGGACGCCGGGCUGGGCCGGACGCCCACGUGGAAGGAGCGGGAGAACAACAAGCGGCGCGAGCGCCGGCGCCGGGCCAUCGCCGCCAAGAUCUUCACCGGCCUCCGCGCGCUCGGCAACUACAAGCUCCCCAAGCACUGCGACAACAACGAGGUGCUCAAGGAGCUCUGCCGCGAGGCCGGAUGGGUCGUGGAGGACGACGGCACCACCUACCGCAAGGGAUACAAGCCGCCGUCGUCCGGGCCGUUCGGUGGGGUCUCGUCGGCGGGCAUGAGCCCCUGCUCGUCCUCGCAGCUGCUCAGUGCGCCCUCGUCGUCGUUCCCGAGCCCGGUGCCUUCCUACCACGCCAGCCCGGCGUCGUCGAGCUUCCCGAGCCCCUCGCGCCUCGACAACUCGAGCCCCGCCUGCCUCCUCCCGUUCCUCCGUGGCCUCCCCAACCUGCCCCCGCUCCGGGUCUCCAACAGCGCGCCAGUGACGCCGCCGCUCUCGUCGCCGACCGCGUCGCGGCCGCCCAAGAUCCUGAAGCCGGACUGGGAGGUCGACCCGUUCCGGCACCCGUUCUUCGCCCUCUCCGCGCCGGCGAGCCCCACCCGUGGCCGCCGGCACGAGCACCCGGACACGAUACCGGAGUGCGACGAGUCGGACGUCUCCACGGUGGACUCUGGCCGGUGGAUCAGCUUCCAGAUGGCCACGACGGCGCCGACGUCGCCCGCGUACAACCUCGUCAACCUAGGCGCCUCCAGCUCGAACUCCAUGGAGAUGGAUGGAAUGGCGGGGGAGAGGGGCCGAAGCGGCCCGGAGUUCGAGUUCGACAAGGGGAGGGUGACGCCGUGGGAAGGGGAGAGGAUCCACGAGGUCGCCGCCGAGGAGCUUGAGCUCACGCUCGGCGUCGGCUCGAAAUGA